rnacentral:tRNA from 1 species
GCCUAGCUAGCUCAAUCGGUAGAGCGUGUGACUCUUAUAAUCUCUUUCAAAAGAAUUAAGGUCAUCACAAGGUUGGGGGUUCGACCCCCCCGUUGGGCU